ensembl:misc_RNA 7SK 7SK RNA
GAAUCCGAGGGCAGUCUGACGGUGACAUCUGUCACCCCAGGGAUCACCAGGGUGGAUCUGGCUGAUCUGCAGCUAAGCUGGUGUCCCCCUCACCCCUGCACGUACAUCCCUCCUUGAGGUGAAUGCUCAGUGGAAGAGGAAAACUUUACCUGAUACAGGAGGACCACUCUUCUAUUUAAGGCAUAUAGACUCUCUAAACAAGUUCUCAAGAAAAGUACUUUUAAAAACCUUUCAUUUAUUUGUCUUGGAUGGAGAACUUGCCCUACAUCAGCUCAU